rnacentral:rRNA from 1 species
CCUACGGGUGGCAGCAGUGAGGAAUAUUGGUCAAUGGGCUCAAGCCUGAACCAGCCAAGUCGCGUGAGGGAUGACGGCCCUAUGGAUUGUAAACCUCUUUUGUCGGGGAGCAAGGCGCGCUACGUGUGGCGGGAACGAGAGUACCUGAAGAAAAAGCAUCGGCUAACUCCGUGCCAGCAGCCGCGGUAAUACGGAGGAUGCGAGCGUUAUCCGGAUUUAUUGGGUUUAAAGGGUGCGUAGGCGGAAGGCUAAGUCAGCGGUAAAAUGUCGGGGCUCAACACCGUCCUGCCGUUGAAACUGGUCUUCGUGAGUGGGCGAGAAGUAUGCGGAAUGCGUGGUGUAGCGGUGAAAUGCAUAGAUAUCACGCAGAACCCCGAUUGCGAAGGCAGCCUACCGGGCCAUGACUGACGCUGAUGCACGAAAGUGUGGGUAUCGAACAGGAUUAGAUACCCUGGUAGUC